rnacentral:rRNA from 1 species
AAGCUCGUAGUUGAAUUUCGGGGUUAGUAGGUUGGUCAUGCCUCCGGUAUGUACUGAUCUCACUGAUUCCUCCUUCCUCAUGAACCGUAAUGCCAUUAAUUUGGUGUUGCGGGGAAUUUGGACUGUUACUUUGAAAAAAUUAGAGUGUUUAAAGCAGGCUAACGCUUGAAUACAUUAGCAUGGAAUAAUGAAAUAGGACGUUCGAUCUUAUUUUGUUGGUUUCUAGGAUUGACGUAAUGAUUAAUAGGGAUAGUUGGGGGCAUUAGUAUUCAAUUGUCAGAGGUGAAAUUCUUGGAUUUAUUGAAGACUAACUACUGCGAAAGCAUUUGCCAAGGAUGUUUUCAUUAAUCAAGAACGAAAGUUAGGGGAUCGAAGACGAUCAGAUACCGUCGUAGUCUUAACCAUAAACUAUGCCGACUAGGGAUCGGAUGAUGUUAAUUUUUUAAUGACUCAUUCGGCGCCUUACGGGAAACCAAAGUGUUUGGGUUCCGGGGGGAGUAUGGUCGCAAGGCUGAAACUUAAAGGAAUUGACGGAAGGGCACCACCAGGGGUGGAGCCUGCGGCUUAAUUUGACUCAACACGGGGAAACUCACCAGGUCCGGACAUAGUAAGGAUUGACAGAUUGAGAGCUCUUUCUUGAUUCUAUGGGUG